AGUGAGCGCUGGCGGUAGGCCUAACACAUGCAAGUAGAACGGCAGCACAGUAAGAGCUUGCUCUUACGGGUGGCGAGUGGCGGACGGGUGAGGAAUACAUCGGAAUCUACUUUUUCGUGGGGGAUAACGUAGGGAAACUUACGCUAAUACCGCAUACGACCUACGGGUGAAAGCAGGGGAUCUUCGGACCUUGCGCGAUUGAAUGAGCCGAUGUCGGAUUAGCUAGUUGGCGGGGUAAAGGCCCACCAAGGCGACGAUCCGUAGCUGGUCUGAGAGGAUGAUCAGCCACACUGGAACUGAGACACGGUCCAGACUCCUACGGGAGGCAGCAGUGGGGAAUAUUGGACAAUGGGCGCAAGCCUGAUCCAGCCAUACCGCGUGGGUGAAGAAGGCCUUCGGGUUGUAAAGCCCUUUUGUUGGGAAAGAAAAGCAGCAGGUUAAUACCCCGCUGUUCUGACGGUACCCAAAGAAUAAGCACCGGCUAACUUCGUG
rnacentral:rRNA from 1 species